GUGCAUUGCCCUCAGUGGCCACGCGUCUAUCAUCGCCGGUCCUUCUUCUUCGAUUUCUUCGUUGGUUUUUUUUUUCCGUUUGCCUCUUUCCCUCCAUUCUUUGCUUUUUCUUUUCGUUCGCCUCUCUCUCUGCUUCCUCAGUUUCUGCAAAUUGUCGAACGUAGCUUUUUUUCUCUUCCACGCCGGUGUUGUUCUUGCUGUCCACACUUAGCAAGUUUCUCCAUCUGAUUAUUCAGCUUCGUUAUUUUUCCCGAAAAAUUGCUCAAUUCGUGAAUGGUUUAGGGGCUACAGAUUUCUGCCUUUUUCAAUUCGAUUGAAAUCCAUUUUUCUUUGCGUAGUCUAACGUGUUCUGGAAACGCUUCUGCUCCAAUUUUGGGCUUUCGUCUGCAGGAAAUGCUUCUUCUCCAAUUUUGGGGCUUUCGUCCACAAUUUUGCAAGCCCAUUGUGUUGAAGGAUUUGGAGGCUCCUGCUUGGGAACUCAGAAACCUUUUUUAAUCUUUCCAGCAAUGGAGCUUGCAUUGUCGCUUGAGAAAUCGACAAAUGAAAAGCUCUGCUCAACUUGCAGUGUAAAAUGAUAAGGUUUAGGUGAUUAUAUUUUGUACCUGUAACAUCGUUUAGUUCGUGUUAUAAAUUAACAAUCUUAUUAUGCUAUGUUCAUCUUCGAAUUUACGACUAACAGGUUGUUGAGAAGAACAAAGAUGUGUAGUUCGUAGGUGGAAGCCAUCAAGAAAAUAUCUGAAUAUGUUGCUCAACUAUAGAUAAUUGGCGAAGAACACGAUUAGUGACAUGGAGCACACUCAGUGGAGCCAUUUACCACUACUGGUGUCCCUACUGAUUUAUUACCAUAUACCAAUCCAAGUCCAAACUGAUCACAAAUAAGAAAUGUACUUUACUUACUUUCGAAGGCUAAAGUGAUUUAUAAAUGUGAUCCAAAAUGUGGUUGUGGCAUUUCUUGCGUCAAUCGUUCUCCUCAGAGAGGGCUGAAGUAUCGUUUUAAGGGAUCGGACCACAAAAAUUUAUCUUCAGUGCUUCAUAAAGCUUUAGAGGGUGCAAUCAUAUUUGAAACUUUCCCCAAGACUAUUAUGGAUGUUUUUGCAUUGGUGUUGGAAUCUAUGAGCAUUUGGUUACUUUACAGGAAAGCUUAUAUGAAUUUUUAAUCGAUGAAUUCCAGUUUCCAACACUUCAUUUUCUUCAAUUACAGGUAUUUGAAUUUUACAUGUCUAAAUUUUGUUCUCCAAUAAUUUUUAAGAUCAGUAGAUCUGUUGAAUUUGAUAAUAUUAUUCAACAAUGUGGUCAUCUAUUCAAACUGCAUUACAAAAUUUAAUAUGCAGAAUUAAGCAUUGUAAGUUUGAUCUUUUUCUUCUGAGUGAUGUAUUUCAGAUACUGCCUUCUCCAACUAAACUCUUGAAAAGCUUUUCUAUAAAAUUUAUAGUUGUUUAAAGUGUUGUAUCCAUCUUUGCAAUUAGUCUCAUAAAUUAUACCAAAUUUGUUAAUUCUUUAGCAAAAUAAGCAAAUCAUUUUAAUUUGUUUAGGUCAGAUCAUAUGAAUUUUGAGGUUACUAUUUUGAUUGUGUAAUUACCCAUGUUUCUAACAUUGCAUUCCUUUUUUUGUAAUAAAUUUGUUUCGUUUUUAGUUCUAAAAUGUAGUUUACAAAGGAAAAUCCAUGCGUUUCUAAUCUACACAAGUCAAAAGUUAAAGAUCAUUUUGACAAAAAAAAAAAGGUUAAAGAUCAAGAAGAAUUGAUGAAAGAAGCAGUAAGCAUUUUACAAGCGACUCUCAGUUUUUAUUCAACAAUCCAGGCGUCCCAUGUUUCUCCUCCCUGGUUUGGUAAAGUAGAAACUUAUAGUUUGUCUUACAUUUAACAGAGAGACGUUAUGUGAAUAUAUCACAAUAUCAGUAAUUUUUUUGUAUGUUUUGUGAAUUUGUUGAUAUUCUAGCAGGAAUUGCAAUGGUGGAAGGGAACAAACAUAAAGUUAGUGUUAUUUCAGCCAAAAGCCUUAUUCUCACAACAUUGAGUACGAUUGCUUAGACUUUCAAUUCAUUGUACCUAAAUUGAAACAAUUCUUUACUUUACAUAUGUCAAAUAUAAUCUUUUAUACAA